UACGUAGGGUGCAAGCGUUGUCCGGAAUUAUUGGGCGUAAAGGGCUCGUAGGCGGCCAACUAAGUCGGAUGUGAAAUCCCCAGGCUUAACCUGGGAACUGCAUCCGAUACUGGUUGGCUUGAAUCCGGGAGAGGGAUGCGGAAUUCCAGGUGUAGCGGUGAAAUGCGUAGAUAUCUGGAGGAACACCGGUGGCGAAGGCGGCAUCCUGGACCGGCAUUGACGCUGAGUGAGCGAAAGCCAGGGGAGCAAACGGG
rnacentral:rRNA from 1 species